AUUGAACGCUGGCGGCAGGCCUAACACAUGCAAGUCGAGCGGAUGAAGGGAGCUUGCUCCUGGAUUCAGCGGCGGACGGGUGAGUAAUGCCUAGGAAUCUGCCUGGUAGUGGGGGAUAACGUCCGGAAACGGGCGCUAAUACUGCAUACGUCCUGAGGGAGAAAGUGGGGGAUCUUCGGACCUCACGCUAUCAUAUGAGCCUAGGUCGGAUUAGCUAGUUGGUGGGGUAAAGGCCUACCAAGGCGACGAUCCGUAACUGGUCUGAGAGGAUGAUCAGUCACACUGGAACUGAGACAGGGUCCAGACUCCUGAGGGAGGCAGCAGUGGGGAAUAUUGGACAAUGGGCGAAAGCCUGAUCCAGCCAUGCCGCGUGUGUGAAGAAGGUCUUCGGAUUGUAAAGCACUUUAAGUUGGGGGGAAGGGCAGUAAGUUAAUACCUUGCUGUUUUGACGUUACCAACAGAAUAAGCACCGGCUAACUUCGUG
rnacentral:rRNA from 1 species